rnacentral:lncRNA from 1 species
UUCGUGAAUCAAAACUUACUCGCCUAAGUUAAACUGCUAGUUUCUAAGACGCAAAAGAAAUAUUAUAAACAUCUUUCCAGGUACGUUGCGCCCCAUUUGUAAGUGGAGGAUUGUUUCUUCACAGCCACUUAGAUUUCCCAUGAAAAAUUCCUGUCUUUCUCUGUUUUCUUCAGGUCAUAGAUACUCAGGAAAAUUCUUAAAUUAUUCAUCAGUAUCGAAUGUUAACAUAAUGUUGGCUAAAAUAAUGCCAAUUAUUUACUCUUUGCUGAUUUUUAUUCAUGCAGUGUACUCCUUACCAACUAUCGCAGUGAGAGGAAAAUGCACACCGGGUGAAUUGGUUUUCGUUCAGUGUAACCUAUGCACGUGCAGCCCGAAAGGAGAGCCGAAUCAAGUCUGCGCGGAAAUGUGGUGCCCUCCGGACGCUCGGGUCAAGCACUUAUACCCAAACCCCUUUCAAAAAUUUUACCCCAACAGGUAAAGCUGCUAGAAGUAUGUGCCCAUGAAAGCACAACACAGCCGAAUACAGGGGCUCAGGGCAAACCUAGGAAUUACCACUUCCUUGCAAUGAUAACGACUAAAUUCUAUUUAUAAAAAAAAAAAAAAAAAAAAAAAAAAAAAAAAAAACUUGCAAUGUAACGUUGCCCCAUCAAACGCAUUGUACUUUCUUUGCGGUGCAUUACGUAUAAAACUUGGUUGAAUAAUAGCUAAUCAUACGCGGAAAAGCGGAAUCGGCGUCAUUCGCUGUGUUUUUAAAGGUCAAUAUUUUCUAAGACUGAGAGCUGACACUUCGUUUUUGCCUUAUCACGUGUUUGCUCGAGUGAAAUGACCGGCAUUGGCAAUAAGAAUUGUAAGGAGGCAAAUUUUUCUUUGUGGUCGGAUGAAGAAAUCUUAAUUUCAGAUUUUAGAGUGGGAUGCCCCAACGUACCAAUAAUAUUCCAACGUUUCAAGCUAUUAAUGUAUUUUCAUGUCGAUAAAACUCGUAAGGUCCCAUUAUGAUCUCAGCGCUUCUAACCACCGAGUCUCGGCCAAAGGGGGUGAAAACUCUGAUAGCUCUUUCUCAAGGAUACUUUUAGAUCGCUAAAAGCUCACAGAUAAUAAUAUGUCUGGGUGUGUUAUUCUUUUGUGGCCAUUUGUUUUUAAACCUGUCUUCUAGAGAGUGGUGCCAAUCUAUGGAAUUUGAAUUACUUGCACCACAAUCUCCUUUCCAACCGAUACUUUCGUGUAGAUGGCAAAUUUUAUUUUUUUUUCUUACCUCACACAUUCGUGUGAAGUUUUCACAGGAUAAAAGCGGGAGGACACAAAUAAAGAGAGAAAUAAAUAUGAAGACCGCAUUUUUGUGUUUCUACAAAAGUAUGUUACUAGAUUUUUUUAAUUGCUUGUAAAUUACGAAAUUUCUUUUAAUGUCCUGUAUAUUUGUGAACGCCAAAUAAUGUGUUUAUCAUUCCAUGAAAAGGUGGACGUUCAAGGAAAUCAGUUUGCUUCUAUCUUAGGUAUCAUAGUCGUCCGAUUUUUAAAAGGAUUCAACUUCAAUGUUUCCUCUGUAAUGGUAAACAGAAUCUUUAAAGUUCAUAAUUUUGUUUGUGCAUCUUCACUUUUGUGUGUUCAUACUUUUGCUAUUUUAUUUGUUCAAUCAUUCUAUAAAUCUCGUACAAGAGCAGCUGAUUGUUUCGCAUAGUUUUCUUUCCUCCUCUUUCGAUGAUAAGAGCUCUUUACGGAGAGUGUUUAAAUAUUAUCUUAAAUUAAAAUAUGAGACUUUACACUUUCCUUUUCUAUUGAUGAAGCUAUCUUAUAAUUUAAAUCACAGUUAGAGAGUUAGACAACAAGUCAAGACAAGUUAGGCAAUUCUGAAAACCCGGGACUAAUCACCUCUGCGGCUCGAUUUUUGAAUCGUUAUCAAAUGAUCCUGAUCGAUAAACCCCUAUCUUAGCAAUGCUUUCUAUCGAUCAAGGAUUCGAUAUUGAUUCAACAAUCGAAGGUUGGGAGACUAAAUAGAGGAUGCGACAACGAUAGCAACUCCUAGAUGCAACUAUUCGUGUUUGAUUGAUGUCUUGGUUGCAUACGCUAAGUAGUGAAGGCGUUCCAUUGAGCCCUAUCCGCAGAUCCAUUUCAGAGAGGUUUUGCGUUUACGAGGACUGAUUGGAGGUAGUUGAUGAAGCCCUUCGAGUAAACUAUCUUCAGGUGAUCAAGACCAGUGAACUCUUGGGUGGUCACGUUUGGAAAUGUCUCGCAGUACCGUAAACUGUCAAGGGUCACGGUCCCAUCUCCGUCCACGGUCUCGUAACUGACAGAUUUUGGAUCAGCAAUAUCGCCUUUCACAGUCAUCCUGGUUUAUCAAUAAGUUCGUAUCAAUUAGCUCGGAAUGCAGUAAAGUUUCAGUUUUAUGUAAUACUUUUAUUGAUGCGGGAACUACACCAAUCCGGAAAUUAUUUUUAGAGCUCCAGCUGCUCAUUUUUUAACAUUUACUUUCUUUUUUUUUAAUAUCGAAGAUAAAUACCAAGAAUCGGGUUGAACUUUCGAUUUGUCUAGCGGCUGUGUUGUCAAACCCAUGAACCGACAGAAUUUGAGUUGCUUAUCGCGACCUAUGAUUUUAUUAUGCUGUCUUCGGUAAUUUUACUUUCAGGGGCCUGUUUUGCCAUAAAUCAAGUAUUUUUAAUUUCUAUACGUGUACGUAAGAGUGUCAUCGCCAAAAAUUAAAACUAUAAUGAUUUAUGGUUAAUUAGGGCACCUGAAGAUUUUUUAAUUGAUCCUCUUUAGUCCUUUAUAACUCAUUUUGGAUUUUUUUGUCAAAAAUAGAGAGAUGUACUUACUUAAAUUUUGUUUGAAUGGAUUUUGACCAAAUACACACAACAUUUACCCCUAGUUUAUCGCCUGCGACGGGCAUCAACGAACGGACGUCCUCCCUCAUCAGAAAUCCAUCCUCGUACUUGAUGUCACUGAUAACAACAAAAAAAGGAAAGAAAAAAAAAGUGAAAAAUAUAACUUCCAUUUGUCCCUUGCUAUAAUCUUCAUCAUUAAACAUUAAUAGUGCAGCUAGUAUUUAUAAAGCAUCCCAGCUUUCUUCAUCAUUUAAUGGGCCCCGUCAUGCUUGGUUUUAUGGAUCUGAGGGUUCAAAUUACAAUGGAGAUAGUUCCUUCUGAUUUGAAUACACUCAUGGAGCAUUCCACUUCAAUGUGCUAUUCUGUGUUUUCCUCCUAUUGUCAGACCGAAGAUUGGUCAGAGUUCUUCCUUUUACUCAAUAUCUCCCUUGCCUUAUACCUUGCUUUCUUCAGCUCUUCUUCAUACCUUUAUUUCCUCACUCGAUGUGUAGACAGCCCUGGAAUUUAAGGCAACUGGUAAAGUAAACCUAUUAUACUACUACCAAUUAUUUUUUUUUUCAGCUCACUGAUAUUUGUCUCUCCAAUAGCUUGGAGCUUUUACGUCACAGAUUCAGCUUUCAUACUCACGUGAAUAAUUGCUUGUAGUCAGCAGCUGUGUAAUUUUUGUUUUGCUCCGGCCAUUCAACAAUUACUGUGCUGUUGUAUGCUUCCUCGGAAAGUAACAGGAGAGCUACGGACUGAAAUGUUCUGACGAGAUCCCUCAUAACUGACUUCUUGAACGUUGGAACGUCAAAAUUAGUCCCUAUUCAAAAAUAAGGAAAUUAAUGUUAAUCCACAAAACCGAGCGGGCAAACAAGUCCUCUUGAACAUAAUUUGUCUCAUUAGUACUCGGAUGGUAGGUUAGUACUUUUCAGUCGACUCAUAAACAAAAACUCUAUUUUUCAGGAAAUAUUCCUGUAUUUUUUGUGGGAAAACGUUCUUGGGCGCCUUAUUUAUGCUAAAAGGAACUAUGUUAGACGUAAACCCUAUGCUCAUAGUUCCUUUUAGCAUAAACACGUCCAUUUGCUCGAGAACAAUUCUCGAAUAUAGAGAAAAGUGUUCUUGGUUGCAUUCUGAGUGUUCCCGAUUUUGCAACCAGAUCAACUUUCGAGUGGGAAUAUUAUAACCCAGAUAGUUUUCACAAAAUUCUUACUUGAUACCUGCCACAUUGUACACUUGUACAGUAAAUGCUAACAGGAAUCCCAUUAACUGUACCAAACAGUCAACCCGGAAUUUUUUUUUAAAUUUUCCUGUUCAGAUUGACGGUCUACACAUAGUGAUACCCAUGACAACCUCAUGAGAAGAACAGUUGAUAUAAAUUUUGCCCGCUCCGAACGAGUUGCGAUCAUUCUCCGUGUUUUAUUCUGUCCAGAAAAUGCAUUAGAUCAAAUCCUUGAGACAAUAAGAAUGCUAUUAUAUAUUUAGCUCAUAAGUUCGUGUUUUGACUCAAAAGAAGAAGAGGAAAACUCUAGACAACCUGCCGAAGUUGUGCUCCUAAACAGUAUAGGUUGGCGCUCCAAUACUCAAAUCAAGAAUUGGAUUAGUUUUAGCCAGAUUGCUCCUUUUUUUAUCCCUUUUUCAUGAAUUUUACAAAGCAAGAGCCAAGACCGGCACUAUAAUUGCAAUUAGUACUCGUUCGUCUUGUAAUAAAUCAUCAAAAAAGUAAACGAUAUGUGUUAUACCCUAAAUUUUUCCAAAAUCUAAUCAAAGUUUUUUUCUGGUGCAGUGCUGUUGAUUCAAACAAUUUUAGCUAUGAAUUUAGGCGUUUCCUUUGAAAUUCUGAGACCAUCUCGUGCGACAGAAAACAAACGGUAAUCAUUUUUGAGAAUUAUCCGCGUUGGUGAACGUAAAAGCAUACCUUCGAUGAAACCCGACACAGCCAUAGGGCUUCCCAGCCAUGGUGUUGAGAUAGGAACGAAGAGGCUAAUGUAUUUUCUUUCCACUCCGGUGGUUGGUUGGUCAGGAAGUAAGACCCAACUAAACCACCCAUACUGUGAGAGACCAGUGUUACCUUACGUCCUGAGUCAUUGGCAAGCUGUUCGACCAAUUUUGCUAAGCUCGUGAAAUACCAUACUUUUCUUCUUGUUGCGCUGAAAUUACAAUUAAUGCACCCAAUCAGAUUCAUUUGAUCCGUUCUUUGAGAUGCUAAACAGUCAAUACGUUGAGAAAUAUACUAUGCUUCCUAAAAGUCCACCAAACAGGAAGAAAAAUUUAGAGAUCUUGUACUAAUGGCAGUAUUGGACACAAGAUAAAGUUUACUGAUUCUAAGGAAAAUUACUUUUUGGUGGAUUUAUUUUCGAAAUUGUUGAUAUGUUUAACUUUCUCUACAAGACAUUUUGAUGAGAUUGGGUACCGUUAAUGUUUUAAACACGGU